rnacentral:rRNA from 1 species
CCCAAACCCUAUGUGAACAUACCUAUCGUUGCUUCGGCGGACUCGCCCCGGCGUCCGGACGGCCUCGCGCCGCCCGCGGCCCGGACCCAGGCGGCCGCCGGAGACCCUCAAACUCUGUAUUAUCAGCAUCUUCUGAAUACGCCGCAAGGCAAAACAAAUGAAUCAAAACUUUCAACAACGGAUCUCUUGGUUCUGGCAUCGAUGAAGAACGCAGCGAAAUGCGAUAAGUAAUGUGAAUUGCAGAAUUCAGUGAAUCAUCGAAUCUUUGAACGCACAUUGCGCCCGCCAGCAUUCUGGCGGGCAUGCCUGUUCGAGCGUCAUUUCAACCCUCGACUUCCCUUUGGGGAAAUCGGCGUUGGGGAACGGCAGCAUACCGCCGGCCCCGAAAUGGAGUGGCGGCCCGUCCGCGGCGACCUCUGCGUAGUAAUCCAACUCGCACCGGAACCCCGACGUGGCCACGCCGUAAAACACCCAACUUUCUGAACGUUGACCUCGGAUCAGGUAGGAAUACCCGCUGAACUUAA